rfam:Ixodes scapularis strain Wikel colony gcontig_1107728964688, whole genome shotgun sequence.
GCAGUCGUGGCCGAGUGGUUAAGGCGAUGGACUACAAAUCCAUUGGGGUCUCCCUACACAGGUUCAAACCCUGUCGACUGCA